GAUGAACGCUGGCGGCGUGCCUAAUACAUGCAAGUCGAGCGAAUGGAUUAAGAGCUUGCUCUUAUGAAGUUAGCGGCGGACGGGUGAGUAACACGUGGGUAACCUGCCCAUAAGACUGGGAUAACUCCGGGAAACCGGGGCUAAUACCGGAUAACAUUUUGAACCGCAUGGUUCGAAAUUGAAAGGCGGCUUCGGCUGUCACUUAUGGAUGGACCCGCGUCGCAUUAGCUAGUUGGUGAGGUAACGGCUCACCAAGGCAACGAUGCGUAGCCGGACUGGGAGGGUGAUCGGCCACGCUGGGACUGAGACACGGCCCAGACUCCUACGGGAGGCGGCAGUAGGGAAUCUUCCGCAAUGGACGAAAGUCUGACGGAGCAACGCCGCGUGAGUGAUGAAGGCUUUCGGGUCGUAAAACUCUGUUGUUAGGGAAGAACAAGUGCUAGUUGAAUAAGCUGGCACCUUGACGGUACCUAACCAGAAAGCCACGGCUAACUACGUGCCAGCCGCCGCAGUAA
rnacentral:rRNA from 1 species